GUGCGCCUGCCGGCCAGGAGGAGAAGGUAGGGGGCGGGGGCGAGCAGCGGGGGCGAGCGGCGGGGGACGGCCAAAUUCCUCCCAGCGCAGGACUGAGGAGCUUGGAUUUGAUCCAUUGGGAGCUAGGGAGCCAUGGGAAGACCGCGAGAGACUAACCCGAUGGGAUUUGUGUGUUUGGAAGAGCCUUGGGUGGAAACUAGAAAGACUGAUGCUCGUGUCCCAGCGUCUGGCAUUUAUUGAGCACCUAACCUACACCAGGCACUGUGCGGGUCCCUGAGGGGUCACAAUGCCUGCCAUCCUGGGCCACAAUGCUGAGAGGCAGAGAGAGACUUUCAAGAGACAGAGAGCAAGUAGGGGGAGCAGCAGGAAGAGGGAGA